AUGAGCAACCAGAUGAAAUGCCUCCUCAAUCAAAGAAGCAGAAGGGAGAGGAACAUGAUAUACGAUUUUUGGAAACUAGCAAAGUUUGCGAGUGGUUCUGAUCCAGCACAAGCUAUUGUAUACAAGCAUAUGCGCGCAGCACGUACCGAGAUCGGCCACCUGAACAAGUCCAAGAAAAAGAAAAAACCGACUGCUGCCACGGGGCCAUCAAAUGAUGGAAACCCUCGAGGACCUCCUCCACCUCCAGGCAGGAAUCAGGGGGCUCAUCAUCCAGGUGAUGUCAACCCUCAAGGGCCUACUCCACCUCCUCGCUGUACAUAG
rnacentral:rRNA from 1 species